GUUGCUAUGAAGUCAACUUGCGUCAUUAUAAUCAUGCUCUCUAAAGUCAAAGGAAUGAGAAAGGAUAUAAACCACCUAUUCUCUAAGAACACCUGGCAACAUAUGCAGUCAAUAGACUGUCACUGCUCAUGCUGCUGCAGGAGAAUUACCCAAUAAAUACUCAAAAAGAACAAAAGUACAACUAGAAACACAAAGAAGAGAACUGUACGCUUCAUUCUGAAAGGAAAGGAAAUCAAAUCAUUCCUGUUUGCACUCUCAGGAGAUGGUUGGGCAUGGAGCUCACUGGGCAAGGUCUGGAGAGGAAUCUUGAAUUAUUAAUAUUGACAAUAAUGGUAGCUCUGAAGGCUGUAACAAGUGAGAAGUAACAACUCCAGGAGGCUGUGAGGAUUAAUUCAGACUCACCUGGAAAACGAGUUCUGGUAAACACGUGAGAACAGAAGCACUCGUGAGUGAUAUCUAAAAAAAUCGUGAACCUUUGCUACGUUUGUUUAUUGAACUACUUAACAGUAAAAGAAAGCAUGAAGGUUUUAUUGAGUUUCAUCUUCCUCUUCAAUGCCAUGGGCUGUUAUUCUGUACACCUGUGCUCAGCCAGAAAUAUAAUGAAAAAGAAUCAAUCCCUGAAAAGAAUGUUAGCACCAGCCAAUAAUAUUGGACCACUUUCACAAGUCCUUCAGUAUUUCAUCCAACUGCCAGAGAGCUUUACCAUUAUAAACUGAGGACAGCCUCUCCUCUACUCUUUCCAAAGGUUGUUUAAGAAAAUGAAAGAACAGCAGAGAGCAGAUGCAUGUUGUGCGCUUUCACAGACUCAUUUAUUCCUCAAUACCUCUUCCUGUGCCUGUAUCCUCUGCCUUCCUGGAGUUCCUAAUCCAGUGACUGCUUUUAGAUUUCCUUUUGAAGAAAAUUCUGAAAGGUGACUAUUAAAAAUAUCAGAGCAUACUUUGUGAGACAGAAAUUGAAUGGCCUACAGAUGGCCAUUCUGAUACCUCCGACCAGGCACAGAGGACUUCCCACCCAACCAGCACGUCUUCCAGGAUUCCGUAGGGACUGGGUGCUGCAGUAGACCCUUUACCACCUGUGCUGCCAGUGAGACGCAGUUGCUCAGUAAGAAGAAAAAAAACCCAACAAAACCAAACAAGAAGAAAAUGAACAAAUUACAGAUGACUACAAGACUGUGUACAAAAUGUA